CUCUUAAUCUUGGGACUUCCAAUUUUCCCUGCUGGAUUGGGGUACGCCAGCUGGCAGCUGUAUCCCCAGACACCAGGCCUUGAAGAAGUGGUCUAGUCUCGCUGGAACUCCUGGCCUCAAGCGAUCCACCUGCCCUGACCUCCCAAAGUGCCGGGAUUACAGUGACCAGUCCUGAUGGACUAUUCAACGAUCGCUCCUCCUUGGCUUAUCAGGCCUCAUACAAAUCACAUGCUGACCCAAAUGACCAAUGAACUGCCUCUGAAGGAACCAAAGCGACGGGGGCUGUGGAGCUGAGGACCUCUCUCGAAUCCCUCCAGGCUGAGAAAUUAGUGGCCCACUUUUUCUGAUGUAUAUAUGUGAUUCCUGAAACUGCAACAGCUAUCUUGGACCCUGAAGAAAAGAGUGGAAAAUCACAGAGGUGCCAUUUCUGCCAUGAUUGAGAUAUUGAACGAAUGCCUGCAGCUGCUACCUCCAACUUCUUGUUAUGUCACAAAAAUAA